GGAGGCGGGAGCGAGAGCCCGCGGCGGGCAGGGCGAAGAUGGUGGCGGCUACUCCUCCCGUUAUCCACGUGGACCUAACACUGCAUCCGAAGCUUUCUAAGGAUACUUGCUGAGAAGUUUUCCUGAGUGGCCAGAAGAAAAGGAAAAUGUUUUGCCACGUGGAUGUGAAGAUUGCCUUCCUCUAAAAGUUUGGAGAGUCCUGCAUGAUGAUUCCAGACAAGGGCAACCUGCGAACUUCCUGGAGAACAGUUCCGUGUCAUGUUAAAGUUUGUUUCAUUUAAUGAAAUGUUAACUCUGUUGGUAAUUGACAACCCUUUUGUUAUAUGUCUGGUGUUAGAGAAUUAAGAGCCUCUCAGCUGCACAAUAAGAGGUGAGGAGAGCUCCUUGCAAGUUCAAUUUUUUUGUCUUAUCUGGAAGAUUGUCAUGCCCACUCUAUUCAGAUUAUCCUCUGGUUGUUUAGUUUCCGUUCUGCCUAAACCUUGAGUUAAUGUAGUUUUCUCUCUGUGUGUCAUAUUCUUGAGUUUUAAAGCAUCAUUAAGAAAAGAUGCUAUGUUUUGCAUGACUCUUGAGACCACAGCAAAAACGACAAUGACCUUAGUUUUCUCUUUACAAAAAUUUAAAAGCACGACGACAGUUUGGACACACUGAGUUGUGUUAGUUAAUGUUAAGUACUGCGUUUCAAAACUGCUUGUUAAGGAAUUGUCCAGAAUGAAUGUUAAAAUAAAAAAUUAAAGAUUUUACUUUA